UCUCCUUGGAAGUUUAGGUGGUUAAUUUGCUCAUUGGCUGUACAUUGUUCUUCAAUCAUUUAUAUCUAGAAGGUACUUGAAUCUUGAGAAAAGCAAAUCUAGUAAACGGUCAUGUAAUAUUAGUCUUGAGGGAUACUCCAUUUUGCUCACACAAAAAGGUGGCUUUGGGACUUCAUGAUGGUGAACUCGUGGAUUAAGGGAUGACAAUAAUCUUGCCAAGCAAUUAUUGUUGGAUAUUUGGUCUAUAGAUGAUUUUUUUUUUUUUUUGUAUACAACGGCAGCUCAAACAGCUCUAGUGUGAGUACAACCAGUAGAAUCAAGAAAGAGAAAAUAACGUAAUAUGAAGGAGUAGCUACAUCAGUAGUCUAUAGGACUGUACCAGAAUGCCGAAUAGGUUGCAACUCUUAAUCUAUAGGUAGUUAGUUAAUCUGGCAAAAAUUGCUCAACCGUGCAUGCAAUAUCUAUCUAUUGUUAUAAUUGGAAAAGGUUUUGAGGUUGGCUUCAUGCAGCUAGCUCCAAA
rnacentral:lncRNA from 1 species